rnacentral:tRNA from 1 species
UGUUCUAUGGCUUAGUUGGCUAAGGCGCCGGACUAGCGUUACGGAGUCGUAGUUUCGAAUCCCACCAAAACAA